CCUACGGGAGGCAGCAGUGGGGGAUAUUGCACAAUGGGGGAAACCCUGAUGCAGCGACGCCGCGUGGGUGAAGAAGCGCCUCGGCGCGUAAAGCCCUGUCAGCAGGGAAGAAAAUGACGGUACCUGAAGAAGAAGCCCCGGCUAACUACGUGCCAGCAGCCGCGGUAAUACGUAGGGGGCAAGCGUUAUACGGCUUUACUGGGUGUAAAGGGGGCGCAGACGGCGAUGCAAGCCAGGAGUGAAAGCCCGGGGCCCAACCCCGGGACUGCUCUUGGAACUGCGUGGCUAGAGUGCAGGAGGGGCAGGCGGAAGUCCUGGUGUAGCGGUGAAAUGCGUAGAUAUCAGGAGGAACACCGGUGGCGAAGGCGGCCUGCUGGACUGCAACUGACGUUGAGGCCCGAAAGCGUGGGGAGCAAACAGGAUUAGAUACCCCAGUAGUC
rnacentral:rRNA from 1 species